rnacentral:rRNA from 1 species
GAUGAACGCUGGCGGCGUGCCUAAUACAUGCAAGUCGAGCGAACAGACGAGGAGCUUGCUCCUCUGACGUUAGCGGCGGACGGGUGAGUAACACGUGGAUAACCUACCUAUAAGACUGGGAUAACUUCGGGAAACCGGAGCUAAUACCGGAUAAUAUAUUGAACCGCAUGGUUCAAUAGUGAAAGACGGUUUUGCUGUCACUUAUAGAUGGAUCCGCGCCGCAUUAGCUAGUUGGUAAGGUAACGGCUUACCAAGGCGACGAUGCGUAGCCGACCUGAGAGGGUGAUCGGCCACACUGGAACUGAGACACGGUCCAGACUCCUACGGGAGGCAGCAGUAGGGAAUCUUCCGCAAUGGGCGAAAGCCUGACGGAGCAACGCCGCGUGAGUGAUGAAGGUCUUCGGAUCGUAAAACUCUGUUAUUAGGGAAGAACAAAUGUGUAAGUAACUAUGCACGUUUUGACGGUACCUAAUCAGAAAGCCACGGCUAACUACGUG